GGGAACCGGUGGUGGACGGACCGCUCGCCAACCCGGUCAGGUCCGGAAGGAAGCAGCCGUAACGAUUCCGGUCCGGGUUGCUGCCGGUUCCCACC
rnacentral:SRP_RNA from 1 species